GGAGAGUCAUUAUCAGCACAAGUUGUUGAUGAGCAAGUUUAUCCUCAUGUUGCUACUGGGUUUUCUGAUACAUCAGCGUUCCUUCGUGAAUUGACCCUCAAAUCCAUGCUUGUUUUGGCACCCAAGCUUUCUCAACGUACUAUUUCGGGCUCCUUAUUGAAGUAUCUUUCAAAGUUACAGGUUGAUGAAGAGCCUGCAAUUAGGACAAACACCACCAUAUUACUUGGGAAUAUUGCAAGCUAUCUAAAUGAAGGGACAAGGAAGAGAGUAUUAAUUAAUGCUUUUAC
rnacentral:misc_RNA from 1 species